rnacentral:rRNA from 1 species
AAUUAACUAUUAUGGUAUAAGAAUUCAACCUUUGAUCUAAAAUUUUAAAACAUUUUUAAAUUGAGUAAAGGUGAUUAAAACUUAUUUUAUUAUAUUCUAGAAAAAGUACUGUGAAGGAAUCCAAGUAAAUUAAAAAAAAGAAAAAAUUAAAGUUUGUACCUUUUGCAUCAUGGUUUAACUAGAUAUUUAUUUUAUAUUCAAAUGUCUCGAAAUCUAAUGAGCUAUUUUUACUCAAUAUAUUAGAAAACAAGGAUUAAUUGUAGCAAAAAUUUUCCCAGAAGUAAAAAUAGAAAUGAAAUUUUAUUCGUAUUAGAUGAUAGCUAGUUCUUCUAAAAGGCAUAUAAGUGCCCUAAAUUAACUUUAUUUUUAUGACAAUUAAAUAAAAUAAACUUUAAUUUGGUUAGGUUUUUGAGGAUAAGCUCGAAAACUAUAGAUUAUAUUUGCAUAUUAUUUUAAUUAAAAUUUAGGCUUGAAAAUAGCUAUGAUUUUGAUUUUGUUACAAUUUCAUUAAGAACAUAAAAAAUAAUCAAUUUGCUUACAUAUAAAAGAAGAAAACUUUAGAACUAAAAUAAGUUGCAUCUAUGUUAAAAUGAGUAUUAAUUAAUUUAUAUAUUUUUAAUAUUAUAUACUUUAAAACUAAGGUUUCUAUAUUAAUUUAAAAUCAUAAAAAGGAACUCAGCAAAUCUACAUUCUGCCUGUUUAGCAAAAACAUGGCUCCUUGUCCAAAAUAAAUAAGGAGUCGGACCUGCCCAGUGAAUUUUUUUAACGGCCGCGGUACUCUGACCGUGCAAAGGUAGCAUAAUCAUUUGCCUUAUAAUUGAAGGCUAGUAUGAAUGGUUUGACAAGAGUGUGGCUGUCUCUUUAUGAUUAAGUAGAAUUUUAUCUUCAGGUGAAGAAGCCUGUAUUAAAUUAAAAGACAAGAAGACCCUAUCGAGCUUGAAAGAAAUUAGUGGGACAAUCAAUUAAUAAAAUUUAAAAAAUCAACCAUUAAAAAUUUUAGUUGGGGCGACCAAGGAACAAAAAAAGCUUCCUUUUACCAUUUUAGACUAUACAGGUAUUGAUCCAUGAUAUUUUGAUUAAAGGAAUUAGCUACCGUAGGGAUAACAGCAUUAUCUUUUUUAAGAGCUCUUAUCGAAAAAAAGGUUUGUGACCUCGAUGUUGGACCAGAAUAUCCCAAAGAUGCAGCAGUCUUUAAAGGUUGGUCUGUUCGACCAUUAAAAUUCUACGUGAUCUGAGUUCAGACCGGCGUGAGCCAGGUCAGUUUCUAUCUUUAAUUUCAUAUAUAAGCUUAGUACGAAAGGACCAGUUUAUUGUAAUAACUACUAAAAAAUGAUACUAUAUAAUUUACAAUUCAAUAA